AUUUUAAGCUUCCUACGGGAGGCUGCAGUGGGGAAUCUUGCGCAAUGGGCGAAAGCCUGACGCAGCCAUGCCGCGUGAAUGAUGAAGGUCUUAGGAUUGUAAAAUUCUUUCACCGGGGACGAUAAUGACGGUACCCGGAGAAGAAGCCCCGGCUAACUUCGUGCCAGCAGCCGCGGUAAUACGAAGGGGGCUAGCGUUGCUCGGAAUUACUGGGCGUAAAGGGAGCGUAGGCGGACAUUUAAGUCAGGGGUGAAAUCCCGGGGCUCAACCUCGGAAUUGCCUUUGAUACUGGGUGUCUUGAGUAUGAGAGAGGUGUGUGGAACUCCGAGUGUAGAGGUGAAAUUCGUAGAUAUUCGGAAGAACACCAGUGGCGAAGGCGACACACUGGCUCAUUACUGACGCUGAGGCUCGAAAGCGUGGGGAGCAAACAGGAUUAGAUACCCUUGUAGUCGAAUUCUU
rnacentral:rRNA from 1 species